rnacentral:ncRNA from 1 species
UACCUGGUUGAUCCUGCCAGUAGCAUAUGCUUGUCUCAAAGCUUAAGCCAUGCAUGUCUAAGUACACACGGGCGGUACAGUGAAACUGCGAAUGGCUCAUUAAAUCAGUUAUGGUUCCUUUGGUCGCUCCUCUCCCGCUCCUUGGAUAACUGUGGUAAUUCUAGAGCUAAUACAUGCCGACGAGCGCCGACCUCCGGGGACGCGUGCAUU